UACGUAGGGUCCGAGCGUUGUCCGGAAUUACUGGGCGUAAAGAGCUCGUAGGUGGUUUGUCGCGUUGUUCGUGAAAACUCACAGCUUAACUGUGGGCGUGCGGGCGAUACGGGCAGACUUGAGUACUGCAGGGGAGACUGGAAUUCCUGGUGUAGCGGUGGAAUGCGCAGAUAUCAGGAGGAACACCGGUGGCGAAGGCGGGUCUCUGGGCCGAAACUGACGCUGAGGAGCGAAAGCGUGGGGAGCGAACAGG
rnacentral:rRNA from 1 species